GGCGAGGUUAUCGGUGGCACCGGCGGCGACGGUGACGACGGCGGCAAUGGUGGCGAUAGGUGUGAUCACGUAGCAUGGGUGAUGAGGGCGUGGAUCUGGUUGGUGGCACCAUGGUUUAUCUUUGGCGUGUUGGUCGCGUGGGUAGUGAGGUCUCGGUUUCCAGUGUAGGCUUUUCCCUGUCUGCACCGGCCUCCCCCUUAGUUCCCUCUCUCUUAUAUCUGUAGUGUAGAGCUUAGAGAAUGAUUGAUGCAUAUAUGACGCAUUGUUCUUGCUCUUGUUUUGCCUUUCUUAGUUGAAUG
rnacentral:lncRNA from 1 species